GUAUACGGCCAUGCCCCCCUGAACAUGUUGGGUCGGGCCUGGUUAGUACUUGGAUGGGAGACCACCUAGAAAUACUAGGUGCUGUAGGCG
rnacentral:rRNA from 1 species